rnacentral:rRNA from 1 species
AGCGAACGUUUGCGGCGGGCUUAACACAUGCAAGUCGAACGAGAAUCCCUUCGGGGAGGAAAGUGGCGCACGGGUGCGUAACACGUGGAUAACCAACCCAUUGGUUUGGGACAACACCGGGAAACUGGUGCUAAUACCAGAUGUGUCGCAGCUGUCUUCAGGCGGUUGCGAGAAAGGCCCGCAAGGGUCGCCAACGGACGGGUCCGCGUCCCAUCAGCUAGUUGGUGAGGUAAUGGCUCACCAAGGCAAAGACGGGUAGCUGGUCUGAGAGGAUGAUCAGCCACACUGGAACUGAGACACGGUCCAGACUCCUACGGGAGGCAGCAGUGGGGAAUAUUGCGCAAUGGGCGAAAGCCUGACGCAGCCACGCCGCGUGAGCGAUGAAGGUCUUCGGAUCGUAAAGCUCUGUGGGGGGAGAAGAAGAAAGCCGGUGAAGAGCCGGCCUGACGGUAUCCCUUAGCAAGCACCGGCUAACUCCGUGCCAGCAGCCGCGGU